AGCGAACGUUAGCGGCGGGCCUAACACAUGCAAGUCGAGCGAGAAAGGGACUUCGGUCCUGAGUACAGCGGCGGACGGGUGAGUAACACGUAGGUAACCUGCCUUUCAGUGGGGGACAACGGUCCGAAAGGACCGCUAAUACCGCAUCCGUUUCCUGGGGCUCUGGUCCUGGGAAGGAAAGCUGGGCAACUGGCGCUGAAAGAGGGGCCUACGUCGCAUCAGCUAGUUGGUGGGGUAAUGGCCUACCAAGGCGAAGACGCGUAGCUGGUCUGAGAGGAUGAUCAGCCACACUGGGACUGAGACACGGCCCAGACUCCUACGGGAGGCAGCAGUGGGGAAUAUUGGACAAUGGGGGCAACCCUGAUCCAGCCACGCCGCGUGAGUGAUGAAGGCCUUCGGGUCGUAAAGCUCUGUGGGGAGGGACGAACGUCCCGCAUGACCUGCGGGGGUGACGGUACCUCCUUAGCAAGCACCGGCUAACUUCGUGC
rnacentral:rRNA from 1 species